UACAGAGGGGGCAAGCGUUGUUCGGAAUUACUGGGCGUAAAGGGCGCGUAGGUGGCCUUCUAAGUUGAACGUGAAAUCCCUGGGCUCAACCCAGGAACUGCGUCCAAGACUGGGAGGCUUGAAUCCGGGAGAGGGAUGCGGAAUUCCAGGUGUAGCGGUGAAAUGCGUAGAUAUCUGGAGGAACAUCAGUGGCGAAGGCGACACCCUGGACUCAUACUGACACUGAGGUGCGAAAGCGUGGGGAGCAAACAGG
rnacentral:rRNA from 1 species